rnacentral:rRNA from 1 species
CCUACGGGAGGCAGCAGUGGGGAAUAUUGCACAAUGGGGGAAACCCUGAUGCAGCGACGCCGCGUGAAGGAAGAAGUAUUUCGGUAUGUAAACUUCUAUCAGCAGGGAAGAAAAUGACGGUACCUGACUAAGAAGCCCCGGCUAACUACGUGCCAGCAGCCGCGGUAAUACGUAGGGGGCAAGCGUUAUCCGGAUUUACUGGGUGUAAAGGGAGCGUAGGCGGUUUAGCAAGUCAGAAGUGAAAGCCGGGGGCUCAACUCCGGGACUGCUUUUGAAACUGUUGAGCUGGAUUGCAGGAGAGGUAAGUGGAAUUCCUAGUGUAGCGGUGAAAUGCGUAGAUAUUAGGAGGAACACCAGUGGCGAAGGCGGCUUACUGGACUGUAAAUGACGCUGAGGCUCGAAAGCGUGGGGAGCAAACAGGAUUAGAUACCCUUGUAGUC